rnacentral:lncRNA from 1 species
UGCACCCAGGUGAAAUAAACAGCCUUGUUGCUCACACAAAGUCUGUUUGGUGGUCUCUUCACAUGGACGCACAUGACAUUUGGGCAGGGGACCUCCCUUGAGAGAUCAAUCCCCUGUCCUCCCGCUCUUUGCUCCAUGAGAAAGAUCCACCUACAACCUUGGGUCCUCAGACCAACCAGCCCAAGAAACAUCUCACCAAUUUUAAAUCGGGUAAGCGGCCUCUUUUUACUCUCUUCUCCAGCCUCUCUCACUAUCCCUCAAAUCUCUUUCUACUUUCAAUCUUGGCACCAUCCUUCAAUCUCUCUCUUCUCUUAAUUUCAAUUCCUUUCCUUUUGUGACUUGUCCCAAAUCCUCCUUCUUUCCCUCCUGCCUGUCCCCUCAGUCCCAACCCCAAGCGUCACUGAGUCUUUUCAAUCUUAAUCUAUACUGUAGACUCCAUCCUCCCACUUUUAGAGAGAAUCUUGCGGUAGAUCUCACAGCUUAUGUGUGUAUUAAAUAAGGACUCUCCUUUUCCAGGUAUUAAAAAGCCUUGUCCACUGUAAUAUCAAAACUCAAAGCUGUCAUCCAACUUACAACUUAUAUUUUUCCUCAGGCUGGGGAUCUUGCCGUGGGGAAAGGAGGAGGGGUUAGCUCCUUCUCUCCCUGGGACCACCUCCUCUCUUACUUCCUAGCUGCAUUUUCUGUUUGACAAAGGUGGACAGGAAGAAGCAGUAAAUGAAGGCGAGUCUUAUUUGAUUGGCACAGUUAACAGGGCACUGGUACCCGCUAGUCAUGGCAGAUGACAAAGCUGACUCUCUCUUGCAGGACACUUCUGACAGUUCCUUAGAUUCUCUACCUACUUUACCUCCCAGACCUCCCACUACAUUUGCCUAGAGAGCCCCCUCACCUUCAGUAACGAAUGUUUGCUGUGCUCACAGCCAGAAGCCCUUUUCCUUUUCAAGAGUGUUUGUAGCC